UUAGUUAUGAUUGCAAUUAUAAUACCCACAUGUAAUCUAAUUAUUUAUUAAGCAUGAUUAUAGUUAUAUAAAUAUUCAAAUCAUGAGUACCCUUGAUCUUCAGCAUUGCACAAAAAGUUCAUACAAAGAUUAUACAGUAAACAUGUCCCUGCAUUAAGGCUAGCCCGAUAAAUUUGUGAGGCACAAUCCAGGGAAGCUGAUCCACUCUGAUUGAUAGUGAGUAAUUAAAUCGUCUCACCCUACAUUUCAACCACAUCCAUGUUUUAAUCCUUAUAGAAAACUUGAAUGUUGAAGAUUAAUUAGAACAAGUGUGUAUGAUCUAUACGAAACAAUUUUCUUAUUUUUCUUAGCGAGUUCUCCUUUUCAUAUAAUUCUUUGUAAAGAAAUUGUUAGUACACUUCAUUUUCAUAUUCUCACCUAAAUGAGUUAUCAUAACAACUUUUGCUCGUGCAAGAAAGCUUAAAGGGACUUAAUGUUACAAAAAUACUUGAUAUUUAACCCGUGUGUAAAAAGUUAUCAACAUUGUUGUCUCAAAAGAUAAGAAAAUAAUACUUGUAACUUUAUUGAUAUAAUGGAGCAAUCCUUCUUUAGGUGAAGGGACUAAACAUCAUUAUUGGAUUUAAGAAUAAACCAAGUUAGAAAACAAAAUAUAAGAAUGUUAUCUUGAUUUAUAAACAUAAUUCAACCCUACUUCUUAUGUUUAUUUAAGUUGGUAUUAAAGCUUAAUCUUUGGGGCUUAAGCAUCUAACAAUGCAAG
rnacentral:lncRNA from 1 species